rfam:Erinaceus europaeus unplaced genomic scaffold scaffold00034, whole genome shotgun sequence
GCUUGCUCCAUUAGACUGUAUACUAAAAUUGCAACAACACAGAAAUUACCAUUCCCCUUGCAUAAGGAUGACACACAAAUUUAUGAAGUGUGUUAUAGUUUU